CCGGAAUUACUGGGUGUAAAGGGAGUGUAGGCGGGGCUUCAAGUCCGUUGUGGAACCGGAUCGGCUCAACUGAUCGUUGCGGCGGAAACUGGAGCUCUUGAGUGAGGUAGAGGCAGGCGGAAUUCCCAGUGUAGUGGUGAAAUGCGUACGAUAUUGCGAGGAACACCAGUGGCGAAGGCGGCUAUGCUGGGCCUUAACUGACGCUGAGGCUCGAAAGUGUGGGGAGCAUACAGGAUUAGAUACCUUGGUAGUCCACACUGUAAACGAUGAUCACUAGGUGUGGGGGGACUGACCCCUUCCGUGCCGCAGUGAACACAAUAAGUAAUCCACCUGGCGAGUACGACCGCAAGGUUGAAACUCAAAGGAAUUGACGGGGGCCCGCACAAGCAGUGGAGUAUGUGGUCUAAUUAGAAGCAACGCGAAGAACCUUACCAGGUCUUGACAUCGUGUGCAUAGCGUGGAGACACGUAAAGCCCUUCGGGGCACACAGACAGGUGGUGCAUGGUUGUCGUCAGCUCGUGUCGUGAGAUGUUGGGUUAAGUCCCGCAACGAGCGCAACCCUUACGAUUAGUUACUACGAAAGAGGACUCUAAUAGGACUGCCGUUGACAAAACGGAGGAAGGUGGGGAUGACGUCAAAUCAUCAUGCCCCUUAUGACCUGGGCUACACACGUACUACAAUGAUGGUCAACAGAGGGAAGAUAAGCCGCGAGGUGGAGCGAACCCCUAAAAGCCAUCUCAGUUCGGAUCGCAGGCUGCAACCCGCUUGCGUGAAGCUGGAAUUGCUAGUAAUCGCGGAUCAGC
rnacentral:rRNA from 1 species